UACUUGAAUGUAUGUUAGAACCAUCCAAAAUAUUUAAACCCGUAACCUUCUAAAUGGAUAAAUCAAUUCUUUCUCCUUGUGGAUUUGACGUUAAUUAAUAAUCCUCUCAAACCUACUAACUGAUGUACUUAAAAGAUGCGAAAAGGAAAAAAAAGGUAAUUGAAUUAGGAGGUUUUAAUAGAAGAACUUUGAUAAAAGGGAAAAGGGAAAGAGAGAUAAGAUGGAGCAGUGGUGGGUUAGGAUAGGCAUAUGGGAAGAUAAAUAAGGGGCGACGUCGCUUUCCAAAAUACAAAAAAUACAGCAGGAUGACUUAUAAUUAAGAAUAAUGAAAAAAUAUAAUAUAAUGAAAUGAAAUGGUCCAUUACAUUCACACACACUGACACACAGAAUAAUAAUGUGUUUAGGAA
rnacentral:lncRNA from 1 species